ACUGCAGGCUGCAACUCGCCUGCACGAAGUCGGAAUUGCUAGUAAUCGUAGGUCAGCAUACUACGGUGAAUACGUUCCCGGGCCUUGUACACACCGCCCGUCAAACCAUGAGAGUUGGCAACACCGAAGUCGGUAGUCUAACCGCAAGGAGGACGCCGCCGAAGGUGGGGUUGAUGAUUAGGGUUAAGUCGUAACAAGGUACC
rnacentral:rRNA from 1 species